AGGUGCCUUGGAGCCGCUGCUCUCGCCUCCCUUCUCCACCUAGCGGCGGUGUUUCACACCCCGGAGUGGCUUUUUGGGGAUAAAGGCACAAAUCUUUGCCAGACCUCCCGCCAGGCCCCCUGGCCUGCCACGUGCUCCUUGCCGGCCUAGACUCACCCAGGCUGUGCCCUCUGCUCAGAACGACCUUUCCCCCCUUCCUCUCCCCCUCGCUUGCUCCGACUGUUCUUUGCAAUCCCGGCUGGGGUUGGGUUAAGGGCCUUCUGGGGCUUCUUCAUACCCUGUGCAUCUUCCUCCUACUGGCACCGACCACCCCACACUGGGCUGCCAUCUGCUUGUCUACACCCACUGACUUUUCAUCUCUGUAUCUCCCCAGUAAGCAGGAGUGGCUCACAGAAGGCACGUUAAUACCUGUGUGUUAAUAUAAACCAAGGAGCGGGACGAUAGCUAGGAAGUAACAUCCCUGGGCAUCAUCUGAGUACCAGGCCCCCUGCCAGGUACUUUAGAGGCUACUUGAUGUUCAGGCCCAUGGCAGCCCUGGGAGGGAGGCACAAAGGCUCUUUUGUUCCUGGGGAGUCAGUGGAGGCCCCUAGAGGCUGAAUGACUGUCUGGGUCCCCCAGCUGGACUGUUUGGGGACAGGCCUGGGGAGCUGAGGGCACCCUCAUACCAGGCAGCCUUGCGCCUGAAGCUCUGCUGGUGAAAACUGAUGGGCAGGGCCCUGGAAGGGAGAGUCAGCGCCUGCGGGGGCGGGGGUGGGGGUGGGGGUGGGAAGGCAAGCGGAGGGGAAAGGUGAGCAUAGACAGGCAUUUGUGAUGGCCACAGGCCUUCACUGCUACCCUGACAUCAGGGCCAAUGGCAACCUGCAAGGCCCUUCAAAGCCCUGCUUCCACCUCUGCCCAUCUCUGGCUGCAACCUCCUGGUUCUCCCACCCUGUGCUCUAUUCUCCAGCUACACUGACCCAUGUCAGCUCCCAGGCCAUGCAUCUGGGCCUUUCACAUGCUGCUCUCUCCAGGGUCCAUCCAGCCCCACCUCCACCACAUUGCCAAGACCAGGCCUUACUUUCCAGACUCCAUGUACUUCUCAGCACUGGCCCCACCAUUUGUGCUGAGGAUCAUCAGCUACUGAGACCUGAAUUCAACCCCAGGCCCUGGGUUUGAAUUCUGACACAUUUGUGGCUGACCUUGGAGAACAGCUCAUCCAUGGGCUCGCAAAACAAUGCCGCUGACUUAGACAACACUCUACUGAUUUGCUGGCACUGGGCUGGGGCUUUGGUGGACACUGAAUCCCCACAAACCAGCCUGCAAGGUCAGACAUGUGAAAAGUCCUUUCUGUUUCAUCAAGGCUCAUCAGGUGAACGUCUCCAACAGGCUCUCACUUCAGCAACAUUUCAUAGCAGAAGGUGAUCUGUCUUCAAGGUUGGAGGCUGGUCCCAUAGACCCCAACUCCAGCAUCAGGCCAAGGGCUGGGCAAGGCUGCAGGGUUGUGGCUAUCCCAAAUAUGAACUCAGACACACUUAGUUCUGAAUCCUGUGUUACCUUGGGCGAAUUACUUCACCUCUUUGAUCCUUCAUUUUCUUCCUUUUUUCUUUUUUGCUUUAGCUUUUCUUUUCAAUAAAAUUAAUAACACGUACAUAUUUUUAACAGACAAAUAGAACUACAAGGCUUACAAUGAAAAAAGGCAGUCCCUUGCCUUGCUUUGCCCACCCUGGGUCCUCCC
rnacentral:lncRNA from 1 species